ensembl:lncRNA
AUGCACGUAGCUGGGAGCAGGAUGCUCUCGUCUGUGUGCAGCCUGGAUGUAAGAGAUCCUCAGCCACGUGCAGAUGGCACAGUGGACACUAAGAGACAUCACACACGGUGUGGUCCCACUGUUCCCCCACUCUGUGCCCAUUCCUCACCUCUCAAUGUGCUCAGGCUGUUCUCCCAGGGCUGCUGCUGCACAGCGUAUGCCAGCAUGCCACCUCUUGCCAAGAAGCUUAUCUGGCACAAGAAAUCACAUCUGUUCAUCCUCCCUUGCUGUCCUUGCAGCCACAGGGAGGUGGUGGUGCUCGGUGUACUUUCGGUGCUGGCUCCUGCUCCAUGGGGAUUUGGAAGGCCUCUGCGUGCUGCGGGGGCUGCCGGCCUACUGCAGAAUGCUGCCCGUCUGCUCCCACUGCAGCUCCCUGAGUGCUGGCUGCCCUACAGAUCCCCACUCUGGUGUUCUCCCCACCUGCAGGGUGGCAGGGGCUCAGAGGGGAUCAGAGCCCACCUGGAGAGCCUGUGUUAUUUUUGUGUGACGGCUGCUGCCAACAGCAUCCAUUGCCAUGAUGGCACUGCUAGGAUCAGCCCCCCCUGCCUGCACCUUUGGUUCCUGUCCUGUUCCUGAAAGGAGGUAAAUGUUCUCAUGGUGAUCUCAGGACAGUCUCACCACAGGGAAAAUCUGGAGCUCCAGGCUGCUCCAGUCCCACGCUGCAGCAGCUGUUUCCCUGGGAUGUUGCACAACGCCCGAUUUCUCUGCGUAUUACUUGGUAUUUUCAGUUCUGCAUCAUCUUUGGCGAGCUCAGUGCAUUCUCUGAGCUCUGAAGCAGCCGAGGACAAACCUCAGGGCCUCGGGACACAGGAUGGGACCAGAGGCUGCCCUGCCCGGCAGCACUGCCAACACAGUUCCAGGACCUCGCUGCUGUGUGAGUCCCUGGGAGGCAACGGGUGCCCAGCCAAGGGCUGGAGUGUGGGAGCUGAGGAGACAAAACACAGCCGCCAAUGUUUGUUCUGAAACCUGCCCAGAAUUUCAUUGGCCUCAAUGAAGCUGAGGAUUAUUUUCCUUAAGUAUUUUUAAACCUGGAGCCUGGCAAGGGCCAGAGGGCUGGGAUUUCCUGGCCCGGGUGGAUGAGAGGAGCCUACUCCUUCCGUGCCAUAUGGGAAGUGCUGGCUACCUGCACGGGGUGAGCAAGGGUGGCCAGGCUGGCAGGAGCCUUGGGAAGGAAGGCACCUGCGGGAGGAAAGCACUGCAGGAGGAAAGCACUGCAGGAGGAAUGCACCUGCAGCCCUGGGCCCCCGUGCCAGCAGCAGGGCUGGUUCUGUCCUCUCUGCCAGAUGGGAUCAGGGCUGCCCUGUGCCCGUGUGACAGCCAGGAGGGGAAGGCAGCAGCCGAGGGGUCAGGGACGUGCUCAUUUCCCCCACACUGGUCAAGGGGAUGCAGAACUUUAUGGGCACCCAAGCAGGGCAGCUCUGGAGCUGCUGGAGACACAUUCACACCCAUGGACUGAGAGUGGCCCGGCUUCUGAGGCUGAGUGAGGCCAUGGGGACUCAGCACAGACUUUGCUCUGUGUCUGUUCCCUGCCAGCCCACCCGGGUGCCCCAGUGUGGCUCACUGGCAGCACCAUGGCAGCAGCCGGGUGUGGGGUGGAGCAGCUCUGUCUCAGCACCCCACUGCUCACCCCUGGCUGUGUGGGUGUGAGCAAUGGAAGGAAAGCCCCCACCGUGCUGGCAGCUCCCUCGGUUGUGCGUAUCAGCAAUGCUCUCCUGGCCUUCCCCUUGCUGGCAGGGUUUGGCAGUGGGACAGCCACAUUUUGCUUCCAUUCAGCAUGGGUGAGCACACGACCUAUUGUGUGCAUGUGUAAAUACACAGAUGUGUUGCUUGUUCCAUAAACCCUACUUGUUCCUUUCCCAAAGAUCCAGGAUGGACAAUGUCAGGAAAGCCUCCAUCCUCCAGCUUUGUUCAACUGCGUGUACUGGGAGGAAAAUUCCCUGCAGAGGAGCUCCCAGCACCGUGUGCUGCAUGCAUGGCAGCUGCUGGUGUGCCCAACCCUGGGGCUGCUGGGAUGAGUGAGCAGGGCUGGUGCUCAUGGGGGGAGAGGUGGGGCUCUGUGCUGAGUGCUUGUCCUCAGGGCCGGCACCUUCUGAAGCAGGUCGGGCCCUUUCCCUGUGCACACACAGGCUCAAGUCCAGCACCGCCAAAGUACACUGAGUGCUGGAGGAAGUCCUGGCCCCAUGCAGCUGACGGGACUUUGCCUUUUGCUUCAGCAAAAGGGCUGCAGGUGACUCUUAGCCCUGCUGUGAGGCCGUCCCGCUGCUCCCCGCAUGCUCUGAGAUCCCCUGCUCAGCUGCACUCCUGCAGACGCUCCCACAAUAACAGUGCUGCUGUCUGAGAUAGCGCAGCGCUGACACGGGCAGACAGCACAGCAGCACAGCCUGAGAUUGCACCCCUUGUAAACACUGCCAAGCACCCAUGAAAACCGUCGCUUGCUGCCCCAUUCGGCCCCACGUUCUUCGUGUGCUCCUUGUGUUUGCUGAGCGUAACUCCUGCGGUUGAGCUGUGAAGGCAGAGAAGUUACGCAAAGCAAUCUGAUGACUCUGAUGGACAAGCCAGAACUGCUUUCUCACCUGAGGGUGUCCCAUAAAAUGUCUUUUGACCCAGUCACAGCCGCACAGCAGCCCGUGGCAGGAAUCUGGCCGUGUGCAUGCAUGUGCUGGCCCCACAGAGAUGCAGAAGAAGAUCCUUGAACAACCGCAGCCGCCAUCCGAACAGAUCCCAGAUAUCCCAUAAACAGACAGGGGUAAAUGUGCCCCACAAGCUGCCCAUUCUGCGUUAUCGUCCCACUCUAAUAACAGCUGAUAAGCUGUGGAUCAACAAACAUUGCUGCUACUCCCCAAGCCCCACUUCAGGAUAAAGAAAGCCUGCCUUCUUUCUAAGCAGGUCGUGCUCCCUCUUGGGAUGAAGACACUGCUACCCUUUCCCUGGUUUACAGGCUAAAGAGGACAAAGUGUAUUAACAGGUACAAAAAAAGCCAGAGAAACUGGAGCAGGAGCAGCAAGAGACAUGUCAGACACACUCCCAUUAGCUUCCCUUCCAAUGUGCAUUUAACAGAUAAUUCGUUAUCAUCACAGUCCAAAGUUAACCUGCUGGAAAUCUGCUGUGGGAGAGCUGGCUGCAGCUGCAGCGUUUCAGCUGGGCAUAAACAAACCAAAAAACACAGCAGAAGCUUGUUUUUGAUUAAACCCACUGCUGCCAGGCACAAAUACGUAUUUUGUGGGUGGAAGUUCAUUGGGGCACAAGCACCAAAGAUCGUCCCUCCCCCACUGAAACAUAGACUUUGUGCCCCGCGCUGCACGUCCCCAUCCCACACCGAGGGCCCGGGAGGAGCAGGAAGCAGUUGGGAUUCGGCUGCACCUCCUGCAGCAGGAAGCUGCUGCUCAGCCUGGUUCUGCCCCAGCUCGCUGCUGUUCCUGCACACCUCCCAUCCCUCUGUGAGGUUUCAGAAGAUGCUUCGGCACGAAGGCGCUGGGCAGAUCCCCGCGUGGGCACCGCAGGGCUGUGCGUGCACGUGGCUGUGUAAUACCGUAACAAGAUUACCCCGGGACACGAUGGCUGCGAAAUAAUCCACGAUAUCACUCAGCAAAUCCCAGGAUCCAAUUACUGCUUUGCAUGACACCGUCCUGGAGUGGGGGGCCGAGCAACGCCGUCCAGCUCCGCUCCCCGUGCCCCGGUGUCACUCAGCAUUAGCACAUUUAGCCAUGUCCUGUGGAGUGCUGGCCUCACAG